CCUACGGGAGGCAGCAGUGAGGAAUAUUGGUCAAUGGACGAGAGUCUGAACCAGCCAAGUAGCGUGAAGGAUGACUGCCCUAUGGGUUGUAAACUUCUUUUAUAUGGGACUAAACUGUUCCACGUGUGGCAGUUUGUAUGUACCAUAUGAAUAAGGAUCGGCUAACUCCGUGCCAGCAGCCGCGGUAAUACGGAGGAUCCGAGCGUUAUCCGGAUUUAUUGGGUUUAAAGGGUGCGUAGGUGGACUGUUAAGUCAGUUGUGAAAGUUUGCGGCUCAACCGUAAAAUUGCAGUUGAGACUGGCAGUCUUGAGUGCAGUAGAGGUGGGCGGAAUGCGUGGUGUAGCGGUGAAAUGCAUAGAUAUCACGAAGAACUCCGAUUGCGAAGGCAGCUCACUGGACUGCAACUGACACUGAGGCUCGAAAGUGUGGGUAUCGAACAGGAUUAGAUACCCUUGUAGUC
rnacentral:rRNA from 1 species